UACGUAGGGGGCAAGCGUUGUCCGGAAUCAUUGGGCGUAAAGAGCGCGUAGGCGGCCCUGUAAGUCCGCUGUGAAAGUCAAGGGCUCAACCCUUGAAUGCCGGUGGAUACUGUCGGGCUAGAGUGCGGAAGAGGCGAGUGGAAUUCCUGGUGUAGCGGUGAAAUGCGCAGAUAUCAAGAGGAACACCUGAGGUGAAGACGGGUUGCUGGGCUGACACUGACGCUGAUGCGCGAAAGCCAGGGGAGCGAACGGG
rnacentral:rRNA from 1 species